AGUAACACGUAUGCAACCUACCUUCAACAGGAGAAUAACCCGGCGAAAGUCGGACUAAUACUCCAUAAUACAGGGAUCCCGCAUGGGAAUAUUUGUUAAAAGAUUUAUCGGUUGAAGAUGGGCAUGCGUUCCAUUAGCUAGUUGGUGAGGUAACGGCUCACCAAGGCAACGAUGGAUAGGGGAACUGAGAGGUUUAUCCCCCACACUGGUACUGAGACACGGACCAGACUCCUACGGGAGGCAGCAGUGAGGAAUAUUGGUCAAGUGGGGGCAACUCUGAACCAGCCAACCGUCGCGUGAAGGAUGACCGGCCCUACGGGUUAGUAAACUUCUUUUGUAAGGGAAUAAAGUUUAGUACGUGUACUAUUUUGCAUGUACCUUACGAAUAAGGAUCGGCUAACUCCGUGCCAGCAGCCGC
rnacentral:rRNA from 1 species